CGAUUUAAUUGUAAUUAGAAAGGUAUUCUCUUACCUCUUUAUACAAUUGAGCAAUCCGCCCCCAGGCCAGCUGUUAAAAUAAAUAUGGGAAGAAGGUGCUUCUUCUUCUUCUUCCCCAUUUUUUUUUCUCUUGCCAGUCUUCUAGCGUGCUAUGUACUCUCUCCUCCAAAUCCCAACCAAGAUGAAGGAAUUAGCUUAUGCAUGUUGCAAAGUCCAAUCCCCAUCUCUCUAGUCUUCCAUUCAUCCAAAAAUCAUUUGCAUCAAUAAGCAAAUGCAAGAUUAUGAAGGAAAGGAGGCAGGGAGAGACGGCAGGACCAACAUCUCCAUUCCAUGCACUGACCAUCGCUGUAGUUGCAAGGCUGAGGUUUGGCGUUGUCACCAUCAUCAUUGCGGAAACGGUUGUGGCUACUGUCUCCGCCGACCCCAUUCAGAUCCAUCGUUGUUGCCUUCCCUUUUCAUUUUCCAGGUUAUUUGCUUCUUAUUGGUGUUUCGGCUAUUCGGAUUUCCUCGUGCUGCAAAUAUGGAAUUGUCCGCACCUUCUCCGUCUACAAGGCAAGCAGAGCUUGUUGCAUUCAUCCAUUAAUUUUAUACUUUCAUUUAGUGCCUUGCUCUCAGAUAAUUUCUGCUCUAUUGUUGUGCAUCAGAACUGAAACUAGUAUGUCUAGGAAUUGUUUCAUUUUUCUGGCCAGCAGAAGCUGGGAUUAAACUGAUGCUUAAUCAACUUAAAGCUGAUAAGUAAGAGAGGCAGGGUAGCAUGUCGUGGCAGACGGUGGCAAGUUGUUGGUUCCCCGAGCCUUACGUCGGGUAUCUAACUUGGUGCCUCGAACCAUACAUCGAGUAUCUAACUUGGUGCCUCGAGCCAUACGUCGGGUAUCUAACUUUUUUUGGAGGCCACCGGGUUGACCACCGACAUGCUACUAAUAACCCUAGGGCCCUUUCGUGAGCACACCAGGAGUGCCUCCGGAUCAGCUUUGCCCUCUUGGGGACUUGCUACCCUCAUUUGGGAAUAACCUCUGGGAUGCCCGCUGGUGUUUGCCAACGACUGGUUCCUUGUGAAAAUUUGAAUUGGUUAAGAUGUUUAUGUGGAUAUCUUAUUGAUGUCAUUGUGGACCUGAGGUCAUGUUUAUGUGGAUAUCUUAAAGAUGUCAUUAUUUAUGCUACGAAUGCUCAUGGUCAUGUGUAUUACUAUUAUCUUGUCAUAUCUUGCUGUUACUGUUCUAAAACAUGUUUCUAGCAUUUUACUACAUGCUUACUUUUCUUAAUCAAGCACGAUUAAGUCUUGCGAGUACAAUUGUACUCACCUAGGA